GGUCUGGUGGUCUAGUGGUAUGAUUCUCGCUUAGGGUACACCCUAUGCUCAAUAUGCGAGAGGUCCCGGGUUCAAUCCCCGGCCAGACCC